rnacentral:rRNA from 1 species
AUCAAAAACAUCACCUCUAGCAUAACUAGUAUUAGAGGCACUGCCUGCCCAGUGACUUAAUCGUUAAACGGCCGCGGUAUUUUGACCGUGCAAAGGUAGCAUAAUCACUUGUUCUCUAAAUAAGGACUUGUAUGAAUGGCCACACGAGGGUUUUACUGUCUCUUACUUUUAAUCAGUGAAAUUGACCUCCCCGUGAAGAGGCGGGGAUAAUAAAAUAAGACGAGAAGACCCUAUGGAGCUUUAAUUAAUCAACCCAAAAAUCACAAAACAGUACCACCUAAGGGAUAACAAAAUUUUAUAUGGGUUGACAAUUUCGGUUGGGGUGACCUCGGAGCACAAAAAACCCUCCGAGUGAUUAAAACCUAGGCCUACUGGCCAAAGUGUAGUAUCACUUAUUGAUCCAAGUUUUUGAUCAACGGAACAAGUUACCCUAGGGAUAACAGCGCAAUCCUAUUCUAGAGUCCAUAUCGACAAUAGGGUUUACGACCUCGAUGUUGGAUCAGGACAUCCUAAUGGUGCAGCAGCUAUUAAGGGUUCGUUUGUUCAACGAUUAAAGUCCUACGUGAUCUGAGUU